CUCCUAAAUGUUCUGGGCUGCACGCGCACUACAAUGACGGCACAAACGAGUUGCACUCUCCCGAGUCCUGUUUCGAAAGGAAUGGGAAAUCUUUGAAAAUGCCGUCGUUACUGGGAUAGAUGAUUGCAAUUAUUUGCCUUGAACGAGGAAUGCCUAGUAGAGGCAAUUCAUCAGAUUGCCUUGAUUACGUCCCUGUCAUUUGUACACACCGCCCGUCGUUGCUACCGAUUGGCUGUAAAAUAGAGGUUCUGGGACAGGCCGGUCGUGGCUUUGUCACGAACAUGGUCCGAAACUUGCCCAAUAUUUUACUGCUAGAGGAAGCAAAAGUCGUAACA
rnacentral:rRNA from 1 species